AAUGUUGACUUUUAAAUACAUAAUAGGUUUGUUAUUUCUAAUUUCACCUAGAUACCAUAUUUUAAACUUUAUACUUGUUAGCACUAGUUGCCAAACUCAAUUCAUAACCCAUUGGUUAUUAUUUCAAAUUUCCAGAUUUCAUAGUCCAUGUUCGCUGCUCUAUUAGACCAAGCUACAGUAGGAAUUUGACUAAACUUUAUUCAUAAAAGUUUUUC
rnacentral:misc_RNA from 1 species